rnacentral:rRNA from 1 species
UACGUAGGGUCCAAGCGUUAAUCGGAAUUACUGGGCGUAAAGCGUGCGCAGGCGGCUUUGCAAGUCAGACGUGAAAUCCCCGGGCUUAACCUGGGAAUGGCGUUUGAAACUACGGAGCUGGAGUGUGGCAGAGGGAGGUAGAAUUCCACGUGUAGCGGUGAAAUGCGUAGAUAUGCGGAGGAACACCGAUGGCGAAGGCAAUCCCCUGGGCCUGUACUGACGCUCAUGCACGAAAGCGUGGGGAGCAAACAGG